CGGCAUCGUCGGCGUGAUCGUCGCCGUGCUGGUGCUGAUCUUCCUCGGCACGCUGCCGGCCA
rnacentral:tRNA from 1 species